CCUCCUUUCUCUGCAACGAGCGAGAGAGGGAGAGGGGGGAAAAAAGCCACUUACAGGGACUGAUGUGCAACUAAUUAAAGGCAGACAGGCUGGUAGCGUCUGCACGCUCAAGCCCCCCCAAAUAAAGAGCCUGAGAACACCUGUUCCCAGCGCUGAAGCAUUCCGAUGGUUCUUUUAAGCAGUAGUGUAUCUUAUUUUCAAGGCAGUCCGAAGUGAAUGGCAAGCUAAAGUCUUGUUUUAAGAAACUGCUUAGUCCACCAUUGAAGAAUAUACUCAGAUACUAUUUUCAUUUAUGUAUAGGGGUUUCCUCAAAAGCAAAAGACAAAAAUCUGGGAGCCUGGGGAAUUGGCCAGCUUCUUCACAUUCAGUACACUGAUUCUUUCUUUGAUGUAACUUAGCGAUACUAGUGAAGUUGUUGUCUAUUUUUAAAGUGGCUGUAAAAACAACAAAAAAAAAAAGUUUGGGUAAACCCCUGCUAUAAAGUCAUGUAUCUUUGAAAAGUAACAUAUCUAUACUUCAUUUUCAAAUAUAUGUGUUUCAGUACUGUAAACUGUACAGAUAGCCGCUUGUAUUUUGUGUGUUUAGACACAAGGAGACAAUCAUGUCUGAGCAUCUAUGGAGAUUAACGGUUUGUACACAACGGUGUGGUUCUGCGAGUUAAAUCCGGAGCAAUAAAUUCUAGCUUUAACUAUUAUUUUGCUAGUUGUUUAGCAACAGCAGCAACAGCAGCACUGUUUUACCAUGCAUCCUUCCAUAGAGACUUGAUGCCAAGUUUUCCAAGAUAAAAAGAUCGUGACGCAUCUAGCAAUUACCUUCCGUCGUGGUGGUGUGAGAGGGGAAGACAUAACAUUUAAGAUUAAUCUUUCAAGCACUAUAUUAGAGUAGUGGUUUGUGCACUUGCAUUGCUUCCAAAGGAGCUUUACAGAGGGGUAUCUCUCCAAAAAUGCUGUCUGGUGUCUGACUUGCUUUUCACUGUGCUCUGAGGUGGAGUGCCCAGCAUAGGCGGAUGUGCAAAACCAGUCGUCUAUAUAAAGGUUGUUCUAGAAUGCAAAACAAAGUGAGUACAAGACCUUAGAAAAAAUGACGACUCAGCCUAAUUACCCUUCACCUAUGAGUUCUUAUGUAACAUUUUCAGUCAAUGGAGUAAAUAUUUUAUGAAGUGGAAUGCCAUAUUUUUGGUCCAAGUGGAGCGCUUCACAGUUAAGUGAGUUUUGACAGUUGGACUGGUUUGGGUCUCACUUGCACUUGUGUUCAUUUGAGAGCCUGGAUAUUUUUGUGGUAUAAAAAUGAACUUUUUCUUUAAAAUGUUUAAAAAAAGGCCGCUUCUCCCCACACGUUUCUUGGUCCACCGAUCUCGGCUUUGCUGAACGGCUGGUCCCUUAGGCCCCCAGAAGAAUGCCCCGCCGUUCUUCUUCCUGCUCUAGCCGCGUGGAGGAAAUGUCUGCUCCUCAAAAAGGCAGCGCACGGAGGGAUAUAACUCACAUGUCAUAAAAAAAUAUGGAGGAUACUGAACUUAGGGAUACUUAUUAUCAGUAGAUCAUCACUUUUUAUUGCUUGGCUUCGUCAUACCACUCAUGAGUGAGAAGGCCAUCCCAUCAAAGUAAGCCAACGCUGUUGUGCCAUGUAUUUGAUAGAUUUAUCAUUUUGUACAAGAUAGGACUACCAGUAGUUUCACAGACAAGGUGCUGGGCGUGGGAAUAACCAGUUAAGGAUGCACAGCACAUUCAAAUCUCCUAUUGUUUCAGCACUUUCUCUGUUUUUUGCUAAGUACUUCAGCCUUUGGCCCCUGGUCACUCUCACUUGGUGAAGCACAGGGGAUGGUUGGGAACACUGCGGUGUGAGACCUGUGCAGGCGGGGGAGAUGCCGGCUUUGGCAGGGGAGGGAGCUCGCAGGACUGGUGGGUGUUGAGAAUGGCCCAGAAAGCAAAGACUGAGGGAUGGAGGAGGAGAAACCUCCUGAGGUCACACGUGUGUGUCAGCAGGGCUGGGCAGAGCGUGGGUGACCUGGGGUAACUGGAGGAGUGUGGCGGGCGGGCUGGGCUUACACCUGCGUCCUCAACUUAGGGUCAAUGCACGUGUCUAUGUCUUUGCGUCGUAUGACGUCACAUACAUGGCUUCAGAGAUGGAAUGUCAUACCUGAAAUGCUUCUAUCAUGGUCCCCCUCUUGCAGUUUGUAAGAGAUCCUCAGUUGAAUAUUCAUCCAAUACCCAUUCAAUGAGCUUUACGUCUGUUUGUAUGGCAGCCGUGUAUGGAUUUUUUUUGUGUUGGAGACUUUUUGGUUAGGGCCUCUGUUACUGACCACUAGACCAAUACGAGCUCUGUAAGGUCUUCUCUAUCAAAACGCUGAUUGAUUUACAAACUGAAGCCUUAUUUGCACAUCUGGCUUGCCUUGCUUUUUAGAAAACUGUGAUUGCUCUUACAGAAGCAGAGGCAAAAUUAAGUUCAGGCUACAUUAGGUGUACAAAGAUAUUCAUAGCAAUGUACUUCCUGUCUAAUACCCUAAUGUUGCAUGUCUUAAUGUGGUUUCUUUUUUUGUUUUGUCAUUUUGUUUUAAAGAACUGAUGGAUCUGUAUAUUGUAAUUGUGGUGUUUUACAUGUCAAUUCAAAAUUGUUAAAACAAACAAACAAGCAAACCUGUUAAUUAUUGAAAAUGAACAAGAGUUGAUUUUUCUUCGAUUUACCCGUAUGGUUUUCAUUUCAGAUGUUGUUCCUUUGCACCAUCAGAUUUUUAGCUUUUGCUGAAACAGUAUUUAUAUGAUGUAGUGCGCAUAGACCAUUUUAAUUAGUGAUGUUUGAAGAAGGAAAUCCCUUUUCUGGCCUGUCUCUCUCCACCACAGCCCUACACCCCACCCCCCCCCCCCCCCCCCGCUUUUAUACACAUUUGUCAAUCGGAUUAUUGUCAAGUUCUAAUAACCAAAUUUGUGCUUUUCACAAGGUCCAAUACCAUUUUCCAGUGUGAAAAGUUGUAUUCCUCUCUGUCUUUCAUUCUCACGAUGCAAAAAAAAAAGGGGGGGGGGUGGCAAAAAAAAAGCAGAACGUACUUUUGCCAUCUUCUAAGUGUGAGCACUAAGCCUAAUAGAAGCAUUUUUGGCACACCCCAGAUAAACUUAUGAAAAAAGGUAAGGCUGAAAGGGAGGCACACAUACUCAUUCUGUCAAUUAAUAACAGACCCUCCCUAUGAGGGAAAAUACUCCCUUUUGUACAGAACCCCUGGUAUGUAAGUCCUACAAUUAAUGUUAAAGAAUAUAAAGUCUUUAAAUGGGCUAUAUCUGUAAUCAAAUAAUGAAGAAAGAAAGUAGUUAAAUGAACAUACCAUUCAGGGUCGAAUGCAUUCAGCAAAAAGCAGUAGUGGGCCUUUGAUCAUGGUUAGAUGCAUAGUGAUAUCAAACAGUGGGUUCUCAUGUAACAGCUAAAUGUUUCAGAUUUUGUUUUUAUUAAAUUUGGCAGUUUCAUGCUGAGCUCUACUGUAUUCUUAGUGAAUAAAAGACAGCUCCUAUGUUAGAAAGUACUCCAUUUUCACAAUUGCAGGGAACUAGGAGGGUUUUUUCAGAAACACGGGCCACAGAAAUGUACUCCUUUCACAGUGUUCUCCUAUUUCUGAACUGUGCAGUUAUCUAUUAAAUUUUCUAAUAGAUAUUUGUGUAAGGUGUAUGUAUGCUUGUGCAAUUAUGGAAAAAAACAGUUUUGGAAAACAGUGUAUUUAUGAAAAAAAUAAUCACUUAUGGGGCAUGUACAAAACUGUAUAAAAACAUUCAAUUUGCCCAGUAAAGUUGUUUUUGUGAUAUUUCUGUGUUGUUGAAUAAAGGACUUUAGUAUUCAAAAUAUCUCUCUUUUUCCAUAAACAGGUUUUGUUUGUGGGAUCUUAAACAAAGAAAACCUCUUUUAAAAAAGAAUCCUCAAAAUGAGCGAGAAGGUCCAAAUGCUGACCUCAGUCUUGUGUAUGGGAAUGAAUGCUUAUGAAGUGGCAGUACAAUAGCUACAAAACUGAUUCCUUCUCAAUUGGCAAUCGAUGGAAACCCCAUAAGUUGUAUGCCUGAAGGUAACAUUGUACUCUGAAUUUUUUAAAAUAGCAGAAAAAAAUACUGCCUUUUUAAAGACUAGGAAUGUUACGUUGAGCUUUUGAGGCUACGAAAAGGUUAAUGAAGUAGGAGCAAGACAGAUUGCAGAAAAGCGUUCAACCCUUUAAUGCAGACCUCUGUUGUAUAAAAAGAGUGGACUAGCGAGGGUGAUGUGAUAAAUUAGCAGUUAGCUUCGUGGGGAAAAGCAUACAAAGGUGAAAUCUCAUCUGUAACUCUUGCAACAAACAAUAGUCCUGAGAUUCGAUCAUCCUGUUGCUGUUGGAGUAUUUGGGUUUACGAAUAGGAUUUGUGAGAGAAUGACAAUAAUGUCUUCCGUUUUGUUUUACUGCUGCUCAGUUCAAAGUUCUGCUCUUUACCUGCCUCAUGAACUAUACAUAGCAAAGGAAACGGUUUCCUUUUGCUAUUUUAUUUCCCCAUACUACUUGCCGACAUUACAGCAACUUCGGAUAGGUGGGAAAGUUCGUGACUGUGCUGGCAGCACAUCACCUGAUUUUGGUGAAAUUUGGAACGUCAUUUUUCUGCGAAUAUUCCUUUAAUAAACAGAAUGUCUGCUCUUAGGUGCCCAAACAGGAUUUGAAAGGGUUUGAAACACGAGAUAGGUCCUUUGGUCUGUGAGAUUCCUUCAGUGCCAACUGAUUUUCCAGGGGGAGCCUCAGUGUAUCCUUCUGUUUUUUAAAGAAAGAAACAGAAGUGAAAGGAAUAGAAGUGGAUUUUCCACUGAUCCUGUCUGCUCUUAUCGAAAUCCAUAAGGAUAUAUGUUCUUGGGAGAUGUAGACCACUCAUUAGACAAUGCCAAGAGUGAAUCUUGAGGUCUGUUUGAAGAGGAGGAAAAGGGCUGCCAGGUUGCUCAGGCAUAGUCAGUGAUCUCUCUGGAUUAAAUAUAGAAUUCACAGGGAGGAAAUACACUCAUUUCAUGAGAUGGUCGAUUUGGAAGCGGGAAGAGGUCUCUGAGUUCCUAUUCCUUUAAUGCUUUCUCUUUCAACUUUUUUUCCCCUCGAGUAUUGUUUUAUACUAGUCUGAAUGAAAAACGUCCCUCAGUUCCAGAGAAAUACUCACCCCAGAUAUGAACCUUUCAGCUUAAAACUACCUCUAGCUUUUUCUAGCUUUUAUUUUUUAAUUAAAAAAAAAAUCUAAAAAAAAACCCCAGACAACAAGCAGGUAAUUCUUCAAAGCCAAAACUGACAAAGUCAUUACUGAGCCUAUUAAAAGGAAGGAAAAUACCCUUUUGUGUGGAAGCUCAAUUCUUCUAGGCUGUGUUGGACUCAAUUUGGUUUUGCCGCUAGCCAUUUCAGUGCUCUCUCAUAUUUUUCCAAGGAACAAGUCUGAAAUUAUGAACGGUCUAGUGAUACGGGGCAACAUGCCUUCUGGGAGGCUCAAGUCCUCCACAGAUUCCCAUGGGCUUUACUAGAUAGCUCAUGAAAUUGGAAGAUAUUAUAUAGGUGACUUAGUUAUAAGUUCUACCUUACUUCGCUGUAAGGACCUACUCGGUCAUCAGUGCACAAUGUGCAUGGAUAGAUGGCCCCAAAAUCUAUAAAGGUAAGAAAUACAUUUCUCGGUAAUAACUGGAGAACAUACAAUAAAGUUUGAGACCGCUGGAACUAUCUGAGGAAAGAAAGGUGAACAUCAGCAAAGAUGUCAGGAUUCCACCGUACCUUUGUUUCUGUUUGCCAUUUGGUUUUUGGGAUGGACACGCUCGGCUGGGUAGCUGGGUCUUUCAGCAAGGCAGUUUUGCCUAAGAUAGGCAGAAUGAAGGAUAGCGCGUAGCAAAUUGUAAUCUUGCAAGACAAGGAUCUAGACUGCCGAAAGUAGCUGCAAUGUUCGGGAAGUAUUUCCAUUGGUCUUCUAAUUUUUCAAAUGGUAUUUAAAGGAUUGUCACGUUAUUCUCAAUUUAAUAAGCAGGAAUAGUUUGUUGUGCUACUGCCCGUUCCCUGAAAAAGGGGUUUUAGAAAUUAGCCUUAAUGGGUUAAUUUCCCAAUAAACUUUGAGAGUACUUCUUAGUCUAAUACGCCUUCCCCAUAAGAGAAAAUGCUGUAAUUGUGGGUUCAUUGGCCUGUAUAAGGCCCCUUUGACUUACAGAGUCAAGGAUCUUUGCUAGAAAAUAAUUCAGCAGAAUUCUUGUAGAAAGAUUUGCAGGUGUCAUGAUGUCAGCCAGAGCCUGGAUUAAUUAUUCAGUGCAGUUCUCCCCAGCUUGGUUUAUGAUGUGUAUAAGCAUCCUACAUUUGAGAAGAAAACACCUUUCUUCCCUUACUGCCUUAAAUCUGCUCUCUUUACAGAGUUAAUAACACUAACCCUCUGCACUUCUUCAGGAAAACCCAAAACAUUAGGAGAAAUACAUCUCCUUUUGGCUAGACAUUUUCCUUUUGAAAUUGAGAGAGAAGAGUUAGCCCAGGUCAGAAACCCCUGUUGCUUGCCCCAGUCUCCUAACACAGGUAUUCUCUGCGUCGGAUGUAGCUUGUGAGCAAAGUCCAUAACGUCAGCUUGGCAAUCAGACACAACCCUACGGGAGAUCAACACCAAAGCAAACACGACCCAGCGGGGGACGUUCCCACCGCCGCCUCCCCGGUACCUGCGACACGCACAAGUUUGUGCCAGAUUGUCCGACACCCCGUGCUCUCCCAGGGGAUCAGGUUUGCUGUGCCCAGGAGAGAGGUGCCCCUCCCCAGAUCUGAUGAGCAGGUAGCAUGCUGGAGAGUUUUUAAGAGGAGAGAAGGUUUGCACGUCCAGAGAGUGACUAGAAUAUCUCGACUCACGUGUGUCGCGUUAGCUUCUGAUUUCUAGCCGUGAGUGUCUGAGGCCACCAGGCUUUAGGAGAAGUAGCUGGACUGUUGAGUAUACCUAGUCUCUUAUGUGCCUACAUUUUAAUAUUCAUACCUAGAGAUCAAUAGUGAAUUUGACCAGCGGAUGUGUUGACCGAGAAUGUACUGUUUAAUGCAAAUUUAUAACAACUGGCUUUCAGCCUGGUUUUGGAGAAUUAGUGGGCAAAUAACCUGAUCUAAAGAAAUCUGUCACCCACAUUAGGAACUGUGAACUAAUUAUUGCUUUCUGAUAUUCUGCUCUUACUUGUUUUGCCUUUUUAUCCUGAUUGUUUGCAUUCCUAGGACCGAUUUGCCUUUUUGAUGCAAUGCCAUGUGAUCUGCUGAUUAAUUUUUGUGAGCAAUCAUAAACUCCAACCUAUGGCUGACUCGGUAUAUUUUUAUGCUACGCUCCAUAAACAUUCAUUCAUUUCUUAUGAUUACUGUGUGGAAACAGACUUUUACAGGCUAAUAAACUUGGAUUUGAACUGGA